AUAUCAACGUCCGUGCAGAAUUGGCGAGAGAAAGCUCCCGAGGUGUGAUUAUUGCUAGUUGAAAACUUUAACCAAUGCCCCGCCACGACGAAGUGAAACAUUCUUUGUUGUCGGCAAUUUUUGACAGCUCCAUCAGGAG